rnacentral:snoRNA from 1 species
GCUAGUGAUGUUUUUCUUUUAUAUUCUAUGCUAAUCAUGAAAUCUAAUGAUUAUACUUUUAUUUAUAAAGACUGA